UACGGAGGGUGCAAGCGUUAUCCGGAUUCACUGGGUUUAAAGGGUGCGUAGGCGGGCUUGUAAGUCAGUGGUGAAAGCCCGGGGCUUAACUCCGGAACUGCCGUUGAUACUGCAAGUCUUGAGUACACUUGAGGUGGGCGGAAUACAUCAUGUAGUGGUGAAAUACUUAGAUAUGAUGUAGAACACCGAUUGCGAAGGCAGCUCACUAAAUUGUAACUGACGCUGA
rnacentral:rRNA from 1 species